CAACCAUCAAGCCCUGCUUGUGUUGGGGUCCUGCGGCUGCCCGCAGGCCCUGAAAACCAGUGGCGGGCUCGCUAGUCACACCGAGCGCAGUAGCACAUCUCGCUCUGGGCGUGCGGCGGGUUCUUGCCGUAAAACACCCCCUUUUUACCAA
rnacentral:misc_RNA from 1 species